CCGGAAGCGCGCAGCGGGCCGGGUCGCGGUUGUUGGGGCGGCUGGUGCGUUCGAGUGCGCGGCCAUGGCGGAGAAGUUCGACCACCUGGAGGAGCACCUGGAGAAGUUCGUGGAGAACAUCCGGCAGCUCGGCAUCAUCGUCAGCGACUUCCAGCCCAGCAGCCAGGCCGGGCUCAACCAGAAGCUGAAUUUUAUCGUUACUGGCUUGCAGGAUAUUGAUAAGUGCAGACAGCAGCUUCAUGAUAUUAUGGUACCCCUAGAAGUUUUUGAGUACAUAGAUCAAGGUCGAAACCCCCAGCUCUACACCAAAGAGUGCCUGGAGAGGGCUCUCGCGAAAAACGAGCAGGUGAAAGGCAAGAUUGACACAAUGAAGGUAAGGCAGGAGGAGAAAUUGGUGUCAGGACACGUGUGAGAAGAUCCUCGCAGGCCACAGGUUGCCUGACAGAGCCUGUCGUUCUUCCCCGAAAUUGCAGAACGUUGAUUCUUUCGUAAUGAGUUGUGAUAGGUGGUGAUGCUGAAUAUCUGUGAGUUGUGUGGUUGUCUUCUUUGAAGAAGUCCAGGUUAAUUUUUAUGAUUGUUUGUUGUCUCCAGUUAACUGCUCCCAUUUUUUAAAAAGAUUUUAGGUUCAUUUUCCAGUUCACACUUUUAUUGAUGCUUUCUGACUCCUGUGUUGAGGAUUUUUCUAGAGAUCAGGGUUCUCUGGUAUAGAGAAUUUGUGAACAUUUUCACUCACCACGAUCGUCUCCGGCUUCUGACCGCCAUACUCUUUGGUACCCUGUCCCCCUGAGCGUGUUUCCCACAGAGAACUUAUUCUCUGGUGUUCUUUACUUUGAUGAGAUUCAGAAAACGCUGUGCAUUUUGAACACGAACUACGUGAUUUUUUUUCCUACUUAAAUCGACUUAAACGUGGUUCAGGUUGGUAGGUGUUUUUUAGCUGGGCAGCCCAGCUCGCUUUGGUAGCUCCCCAUUUCUGCUCGAAUCCUUCUCACCUUGCCUGCAGCUGUGGAGCCCCUGCCCUACCCCCCGCGCCACCCGCCCCACCCACCCCACCCGCCGGCCUGCAUUCCGCAAGGCCUCCUUUCUUUCCUGGAAUACUCCAGACUCUGUUUCUGCGGGUUCUUUCUCUUGAUGCCUCCUCUGCUCUGAUCUCCUCCUCUCUUUUUCUCAGUUCUCUCCCCUCCACCAGCUGGUUAGGCCACAGGGUCACAGGGGACCUGGAUGUCUGUUCCUGUGAAGGCCCAUUGUCCACCCAGGGCCAGGCGGACACCUGGUGGCUGGGCAGUGUCUGUGAGCCUCUGGGUGCUCAGAGGGCACCUGGCCGAGGGGAGGCACAGGGCAGAGGCGGUGUGGAAUGGGUUUCACCUGACGGCCACACUGCUGUGGGAGCUGCAGCGUGUCCUAACGUCCCACCCAGCAGAUUUUGUGCCUGCUGAGAAAUGCCCCCAGAGGUGUUGCCAUGUCUUAGCUGAGAGGACGGAGCCCAGACGUCAUCACCGUGUUGCCAGUGCCUCGUGGGUCUGAGCGGCCGUGGGCUCAGUGUCUGUUCAGGGCGGGGUUCUGAGCAGUUGUGAGCUCAGCGUCUCAUUCACGUGGGGAUCUGAGCAGUUGUGGGCUCAGCGUCUUGAUCAGGUGCGGGUCUGAGCGGUCGUGGGCUCAGUGUCUUGUUCAGGCGGGGGUCUGAGCAGUCGUGGGUCCAGCGUCUGGUUCAGGCAGGGGUCUGAGCGGUCGUGGGCUCGGUGUCUGGUUCGGGUGUGGGUCUGAGGGGUUGUGAGCUCAGUGUCUCGUUCAGGUGUGGGUCUGAGUGGUUGUGAGCUCAGUGUCUUGUUCAGGUGUGGGUCUGAGCAGUCAUGGGCUCAGUGUCUCAUUCAGGUGUGGGUCUGAGCGGCCAUGGGCUGAACGUCUCGUUCAGGUGUGGGUCUGAGAAGUCAUGGGCUCAGUGUCUCGUUCAGGUGUGGGUCUGAGCAGUCGUGGGCUCAGCGUCUUGUUCAGGUGUGGGUCUGAGCUGCCAUGGGCUCGGCGUCUCGUUCAGGCCUGAGGCAGCCCCCCUGCAGCUCUGGUAUCAGGUGGCAUCUUAUCAGUAGCCAGUUGGGACAGUUUUGUUCUGCUUGAAAAAGAGGACUGGGUAGUGUUGUCGAGCAGUUACCUCUCUGUAUUGUGGCUGCUGAUACACGUGUGAUGUGCUCUCCGUUUCCACUGGGCUUCUGGUAAAAACCCCACACCUGUGGCACGUCAGAAAGCCCACCGAGGGCAGCAGGGCCGCGUGGCCGCUCAGUUAGUCUUGCCUCUGGUUUGGUUGCCAUUUGGUGCCGUUUUCUUCCAGCUGAGUUCUGCCAAAGUCGCAAGUCACAGCUCUGAGGCCUCUGUUUUCCUGGUGCGCCCUGCACUUAGACAUCAAAAGUCAGGUUUUAAUGAUUGUUGUGAGCUCAAGGUCUCCUGUGGAAAUUGAUUUUAAACGGUUCAGGUGUAUUUUGUGUCUGUCCAUUGUUCUGUGUUUUAUAUAAAAGUAAAAAAAAAAACAAAAGCUAAACCCCGUUAUUUUUGAGUUGAUUCCAACUCCUAGCUGCCCUGUAGGACAGAGUAGAGCUGCCCCACAGGGUUUCCGUGGUUGGAAAUUUUGACGGAAGCAGACUGCCACGUCUUUUUCCCGAGGAGUGGCUAGAGGGUCCCGACUGCCGACCUGUCCGUUAGCACCUGGGUGCUUAACCACUACCUCACCAGGGCUCCUUUCUUUUUAGUAUAGCUGCGAAGGAAAAGGUUUUGGGAUUGGCAGGCACUUACCUGCUUUGAAGGUGGGGCUGAAGCAGAUGUUGCUCGGGUGAGUCAGUCAGGACGCGGUGACGUCUGACAGGUGUCAGGUGCUCCGAGAGCUUCCCGUGUCUGCAGACGGGCUCACGUGGCUGAGUGAAUCGUGCCUUCAUCCUGUGUCACGUCGGACUGCCGGACGCGUGCCGUCUGCAGAGUUACCUCCGCCUGCGUGGCUGGCGGCCUACAAGAGGUGCUUGUCUGAAAUUUGAAGCAGGAGGGGAGAAGUCGUGUUUGAAUGUGUGCCCCUCUUCCGGAUGGGUGUCUGUGCACCUCUCGUUGUGGCUGCAAAACCUCGCUUGUGAUGGGCCUGCCCGGCGUUGUUCGUGGGCACUGGGUGAGCAGGCAGGAACCUGCACCCAGGGUGAGCCACACUGCAGGGGCUGCUCCUCUGGAUGAACCUACUCAGAAAUUUAAAAACCUGUUGAUUCAAGAACUUUCUAAAGUAUUCCCAGAAGACAUGGCCAAGUAUCGGAGCAUCCGAGGGGAGGACCACCCCCCUUCCUAACUGUCCUGUUGUUCCUGUCUGAAGAUGCUGACCUGGGCCUUUAUUGAUCGCCAUGACUGUGACACAGGUCUGACUGUGAGCUCAUGCCGACAUCGCCUUCAUGCUGAUGGGGCGGCCCUCAGCCUCAGCCACCUCGAGUGAGGCAGCUGGAAGAGGUAAAGGCGGUGCUGUCUGACCCUGAGUGCGUUUGUCUCCUCUUCAAGCCUCAGACGCCCGGGGCCACACAGCUCUGAGUGCGGUUUUGGCUUCCUGUCCGUGGGGAAUACCCAUUUCCCAUUGUCAUCGAGUCGAUUCUGUCUCAUGGAGACCCUAUAGGGCAGGGUAGAACUGCCCUAUAGAGUUUUCAAGGCUAUAAUCUUUAAGAAAGCAGACUGCCACAUCUUCCGCGGAGCGGCUGGUGGGUUCAAACUGCCAACAUUUCUGUUAGCAGCCAAGUGCUCAACCACUGCGCCACCAGGGCUCUGUGGGAAAUAGGGCCCAGAAAAUACUUAUGGAAAUAUGAUUUAUAAAUUAAAGUUUUUUUAAAAAUUA